UACGGAGGGUGCAAGCGUUUAUCCGGAUUCACUGGGUUUAAAGGGUGCGUAGGUGGGUUUGUAAGUCAGUGGUGAAAUCUCCAAGCUUAACUUGGAACUGCCGUUGAUACUAUAAAUCUUGAAUGUUGUGGAGGUGAGCGGAAUAUGUCAUGUAGCGGUGAAAUGCUUAGAUGAUGACAUAGAACACCAAUUGCGAAGGCAGCUCACUACACAAAGAUUGACACUGAGGCACGAA
rnacentral:rRNA from 1 species